rnacentral:rRNA from 1 species
UACGAAGGGGGGCUAGCGUUGCUCGGAAUCACUGGGCGUAAAGGGUGCGUAGGCGGGUCUUUUAAGUCAGGGGGUGAAAUCCUGGAGCUCAACUCCAGAACUGCCUUUGAUACUGAGGAUCUUGAGUUCGGGAGAGGUGAGUGGAACUGCGAGUGUAGAGGUGAAAUUCGUAGAUAUUCGCAAGAACACCAGUGGCGAAGGCGGCUCACUGGCCCGAUACUGACGCUGAGGUGCGAAAGCGUGGGGGAGCAAACAGG